rnacentral:lncRNA from 1 species
UAAGGGCUGGAAAGAUGAAAGACAGGUGGAUAAUUGAUGACUGAAGGAACCUCCUGACACCUUUUUAACUAAGACACAUGAAAGGUGUGAUGAAUUAAGGCAUCAAAUGGCAACAACAACUUGUAGGCUACCACCCCUACCUUAGCAGCAUAGGGUAAGGACCAUAAUAUUUAGCAGCUAAUUUAUUGUAAGGCCUCACAACAAUGAAAAUCUGUCUAUAGGGUUGUAGCUUCAAGUAGACCCAAUAUCCAACCUCAAAGCUUCUAUCAGACCUAUGCUUAUCAGCUAAAGAUUUUAUUCUCUAUUGUGCCCUCUGUAUAUGGAAUUUCAGAAGGCAUAUAAUAGCCUCUCUGGCAGCUAAGGACCUAUCAACCAUCUCCACUGAUGACUCUCCAACCAAAUAAAAAUGAUGAAUAGAAGGCCUUUGACCAUAAAACAACUCAUAUGGAGAGCAUCUAAUAGAAGAGUGAUAAGUAUUAUUGUACCACCAUUCAGCUAGG